rnacentral:rRNA from 1 species
UGGGGAAUUUUGGACAAUGGGCGAAAGCCUGAUCCAGCAAUGCCGCGUGUGUGAAGAAGGCCUUCGGGUUGUAAAGCACUUUUGUCCGGAAAGAAAUCCUUGGCUCUAAUACAGUCGGGGGAUGACGGUACCGGAAGAAUAAGCACCGGCUAACUACGUGCCAGCAGCCGCGGUAAUACGUAGGGGUGCAAGCGUUAAUCGGAAUUACUGGGCGUAAAGCGUGCGCAGGCGGUUUGCUAAGACCGAUGUGAAAUCCCCGGGCUCAACCUGGGAACUGCAUUGGUGACUGGCAGGCUAGAGUAUGGCAGAGGGGGGUUAGAAUUCCACGUGUAGCAGUGAAAUGCGUAGAGAUGUGGAGGAAUACCGAUGGCGAAGGCAGCCCCCUGGGGCCAAUACUGACGCUCAUGCACG